rnacentral:lncRNA from 1 species
UGGAGGAUGUUUUCUGAAUAAACUGAUUCUACAUCUGAUAUAGUCUUACAGAGUUCCUGUAAAUUACAGUUCCAGCUUAUUUACAAAGAAAACAAAGACUUUAGUAAAAUAAAUUACAGAGCCAUAGUAUUUAAAGGAAAGGGGAAGUUAAAAACGAAAAAUUAAGAACUGUAUAGGGAUCCAAUUCUUCUACCUGUCAAACAGUAUAAUAACUAAGGGAAAACUGCAAAAAUUUCAGAAAGAGAAUGAGUUUCUCUUUCUUGAUCUCUAAAUGACAAUGUUGAUGUCACUUGUUCUGAAUAGGGUUUGAAAGCGUUGGUGGAGCCUUCCUUAGACUAGUGUCCAAAGCUUUCUGGGCAGCUUUAGCAGCUCCACUUGCAUUGCUCAUGUUUGCUGAAAGCGAGGAGACAGAUACUAGAAGUUUUCUUGAUCGAUCAGUGUCUCCUGAAUGGAUCUUUCUGUCAUUGUGAACAGAAAGUAGAGAACACAUGAGAAUUUGAGAAAGAACCAAGGCAAAAAGAACAAACCAGGCUCCACUGGGUCUCAUCCUGUUCUGGUUUUGGAAGGAAGAGGAAACUGAUAUGCUUUGCAGGGAGGACAUAUGAUGAUUUCUCUCAAGGAAGGUGGCAACACACUGAAUUCUUUUUUCUUACAUAUACUCGCAUUGAAUUCUGACUACAUGUAACAUAUAAAAAGCUGCUAUUAAAUAGACUCAGUUUGGUUACUUAAAUUCAACCAUCCCUGACCAGGGACCACCUGUUGUGAUGCUCCUUGGAACUACAGACAAAAGGGCAAAAUAUCAUACAGAGACUUUAUUAUAGAAGCUUCCUUCUGCAGUUAAAUGGGGUAGAUCUAAACAUUCCCAAACAAGGGGAUCAUUAACUAGACCAAGGACAUCCCUGCACUUGAAUUUGUGGAAAGAUAAAUUUAUGGAGAGAAAUUCAGGUAGAGAAUUCCACUUAUAAUAUGUAUUUAAACUGGUACAAACAUAAUUUGAUUGCCC